rnacentral:snoRNA from 1 species
AAGCCAUGAUGUGGGCAUUGAGACCAAUAGCCCUUGAACCUCUCCCAUGCUUCACUAAAUCCCUCUAGGGUCUUCUGCUGAAAGCUAGAGAUCUCAUUCCUGAUCUU